ensembl:lncRNA
GGGGAGGGCAGGUUUCUCUGGGGAAACAGUGGGGAGGGCAGGUUUCUCUGGGGAAACAGUGGGGAGGACAGGUUUCUCUGGGGAAACAGUGGGGAGGGCAGGUUUCUCUGGGGAAACAGUGGGGAGGGCAGGUUUCUCUGGGGAAACAGUGGGGAGGACAGGUUUCUCUGGGGAAACAGUGGGGAGGGCAGGUUUCUCUGGGGGAACAGUGGGGAGGGCAGGUUUCUCUGGGGGAACAGUGGGGAGGGCAGGUUUCUCUGGGGAAACAGUGGGGAGGGCAGGUUUCUCUGGGGAACAGUGGGGAGGGAGGGAGGG